rnacentral:lncRNA from 1 species
AUGGAUGGCAGAUUAACUCAUCAGCUGUCAGAUCAUCAGGAAAGCAGUUGGGAAGCACAUGUUCCUCAUGUUACUGCUCACUGCACCUUUGGCUCUCGAACUCCAGGGUCUUCUCGCUCUGAAUGUUUCUUCACUGGCAUGCAGGCAACAGCAGUUCACCCAGGCGUUGGCGCGCUCCAGGAGCCGGGUGGAGCCGCAGACGGUCCGACGGACAGCGACCCCUGCCAGGCGCCAGCCCUGCGCCGGCCUACGGCAUGUAACGGCGGAGCAGCAAGACCUUGUGGAGACGCUGUUCAGCACCACGGACAGCGCCAGGGCUGCAGCCGACUGCUGAAGGACAGGCUGAGACUGCCUGUCAGGAGCGGACGUCUUCCCCGGGGGACGGAGGGGUCUCACCAAUGAGCCACUGCACCCAGGCCACCGCGAGAGCCAGUGAUGAUUGUAAACGUUAGUAGCAUUUUUUGGAAAAAAGCGCACGGAAGGCGUAACCGCCUUGUAACUGCAAGGUUACCAGUUCACGUCCCCGGAAUGACCCCUUCAGCAAAGUACUUAAAGUGAAUUUCGCCAUGGUAAUAUCUCACAGUUCUACUUUUCCUUUUCUAAACGUUUCAGCUAGAAAACUUAAUAAGGAUCGCUUUAUGUAUAAUAUGCACGAAUGUAAUAUUUACCUGAUUUUCCACCCGCUUGUAGAUUUUUUGGCGUUACAUGAAACCUCUGCAAAAAAUUGCUUGGUGUGAACAGCGAGAUCCCUGCAGGACUGUGCUGGACUUCACUGGGGUCAAGGCUGGAGAUUUAAAUAGAACACAUGGAUAUAUGAGUUCAAGGGAUUUGCAGAGCUGCUGAUAAUGCAGUGGAGAUAAACCUUGACCUCGUAUGACUAAUGAGAAUUCCAUUAUUAUUAGAAUUCAAGGAAUCCUAGGCAUUUCAGUCCAAAGGGCCAUUUUCAGCGAGGAGUCGGUGGUACAUGUCAGAUAAUUGUACCAGUGACAUUGCCUUUUCGCAGAUUCCUUUUCCAACGAUGAAUCCAAAUGAAUUGAAUUGUGGUGUAUUUUGUCAUGAAAACAAGGUGCCCCCUUUGCACAGUCUUUUAUAAAGUAUAUCGAGGCAGUUUCAAGUAGAGCAAAUCUUGGCUGUAGAUGAUGUAUCCAGAGAAGGUGUGAAUAAAAACUUAACAGCAGCAUUUUGUUGUCCA